rnacentral:snoRNA from 1 species
UGGGAGAAUGAUACACAAAUUGGGCAGAAGUACUGCUCUGAUUGUCACUAGACCUCCCUANAAUAAAAAUUGCCUUUCGAUGACCAGGACGAAUUGAGUGAAAUCGUCAUGGACAGAUACGGGGCAGACAAUU